AAAGGUGUGAUGAAUUUGUUUACUUGCGAUCACAUGCAGGGAAUGGUUAAUAUGCUUUUACGUCUGUUUUAGUGAGCCCAGAGGGAAAAUAUGGCAUUUUAAAAGUAGCCCCCAUUUACAGUAGCUAG